UACGGAGGGUGCAAGCGUUGUCCGGAUUUAUUGGGUUUAAAGGGUGCGUAGGCGGCCCGGUAAGUCAGUGGUGAAAGCCUCCAGCUCAACUGGAGAACUGCCAUUGAUACUGCCGGGCUUGAGUACAGACGAGGUUGGCGGAAUUGAUUGUGUAGCGGUGAAAUGCAUAGAUACAAUCAAGAACUCCGAUUGCGUAGGCAGCUAACUAGGCUGUAACUGACGCUGAGGCACGAAAGCGUGGGGAGCAAACAGG
rnacentral:rRNA from 1 species